GAUGAAGAACGUAGCGAAAUGCGAUACGUAAUGUGAAUUGCAGAAUUCAGUGAAUCAUCGAGUCUUUGAACGCACAUUGCGCCCCCUGGUAUUCCGGGGGGCAUGCCUGUCCGAGCGUCAUUGCUGCCCUCAAGCACGGCUUGUGUGUUGGGCCUCCGUCCUCCUCCCGGGGGACGGGCCCGAAAGGCAGCGGCGGCACCGCGUCCCGUCCUCGAGCGUAUGGGGCUUCGUCACCCGCUCUUGUAGGCCCGGCCGGCGCUUGCCGACACAUCAAUCUUUUUUCCAGGUUGACCUCGGAUCAGGUAGGGAUACCCGCUGAACUUAAGCAUAUCAAUAAGCGGAGGA
rnacentral:misc_RNA from 1 species